rnacentral:rRNA from 1 species
GACGAACGCUGGCGGCAAGCUUAACACAUGCAAGUCGAACGCCGUAGCAAUACGGAGUGGCAGACGGGUGAGUAACGCGUGGGAACGUGCCUUUCGGUUCGGAACAACUGAGGGAAACUUCAGCUAAAACCGGAUACGCCCUUCGGGGGAAAGUUUACGCCGAAAGAUCGGCCCGCGUUAGAUUAGCUAGUUGGUGGGGUGAUGGACUACCAAGUCGACGAUCUAUAGCUGUUCUGAGAGGAAGAUCAGCCACACUGGGACUGAGACACGGCCCAGACUCCUACGGGAGGCAGCAGUGGGGAAUAUUGGACAAUGGGCGCAAGCCUGAUCCAGCUAUGCCGCGUGGAUGAAGAAGGCCUUAGGGUUGUAAAGUCCUUUCGUUGGUGAAGAUAAUGACGGUAACCAAAGAAGAAGCCCCGGCUAAUUUCGUGCCAGCAGCCGCAGUAA